rnacentral:piRNA from 1 species
ACAGGAAAUGCUAGAUCCAUGCUCAGGG